rnacentral:rRNA from 1 species
CAGUCGCCACGGUAAUACAGAGGGUGCGAGCGUUAAUCGGAUUUACUGGGCGUAAAGCGUGCGUAGGCGGCUUUUUAAGUCGGAUGUAAAAUCCCUGAGCUUAACUUAGGAAUUGCAUUCGAUACUGGGAAGCUAGAGUAUGGGAGAGGAUGGUAGAAUUCCAGGUGUAGCGGUGAAAUGCGUAGAGAUCUGGAGGAAUACCGAUGGCGAAGGCAGCCAUCUGGCCUAAUACUGACGCUGAGGUACGAAAGCAUGGGGAGCAAACAGGAUUAGAUACCCCUGUAGUCCCUGUCUCUUAUAC